rnacentral:rRNA from 1 species
GACGAACGCUGGCGGCGUGCUUAACACAUGCAAGUCGAACGGAAAGGCCCUGCUUUUGUGGGGUGCUCGAGUGGCGAACGGGUGAGUAACACGUGAGUAACCUGCCCUUGACUUUGGGAUAACUUCAGGAAACUGGGGCUAAUACCGGAUAGGAGCUCCUGCUGCAUGGUGGGGGUUGGAAAGUUUCGGCGGUUGGGGAUGGACUCGCGGCUUAUCAGCUUGUUGGUGGGGUAGUGGUUUACCAAGGCUUUGACGGGUAGCCGGCCUGAGAGGGUGACCGGCCACAUUGGGACUGAGAUACGGCCCAGACUCCUAUGGGAGGCAGCAGUGGGGAAUAUUGCACAAUGGGCGGAAGCCUGAUGCAGCAACGCCGCGUGCGGGAUGACGGCCUUCGGGUUGUAAACCGCUUUCGCCUGUGACGAAGCGUGAGUGACGGUAAUGGGUAAAGAAGCACCGGCUAACUACGUG